rnacentral:rRNA from 1 species
AAACGACUCUCGGCAACGGAUAUCCCGGCUCUCGCAUCGAUGAAGAACGUAGCGAAAUGCGAUACUUGGUGUGAAUUGCAGAAUCCCGUGAACCAUCGAGUCUUUGAACGCAAGUUGCGCCUGAAGCCUCUAGGCUGAGGGCACGUCUGCCUGGGUGUCACAC